UGGAAAUGAUGAAAUAGAGAUAAUUGGGUGUUGAAUGUUGUAUGAUUGAAAAUUCUUAAUAUGUAAGUUUAAUUUUUUAUAAAUACGUACGUGUGUGUGUGUGUGUGUGUGUGUGUGUGUACUUGUGAAGGCUAUGGAAAGGGGGCACUGACUGGUGAUGCUGAUAUUGGAGUGCAUCUGAGGCUGUUGUACAGAUAAAUGGGUUGUUGAUACAGCAUUGCCAGUGAUUAUAACCCAAGAACAGCUCACCUAAGUAGCCUAACACCCUAAGAUCUCUAACAGGUUCAUUAAGUAUGUUCCUGUGAUCUGAUCCAA
rnacentral:snoRNA from 12 species